GACGAACGCUGGCGGCGUGCUUAACACAUGCAAGUCGAACGGAAAGGCCCUGCUUUUGUGGGGUGCUCGAGUGGCGAACGGGUGAGUAACACGUGAGUAACCUGCCCUUGACUUUGGGAUAACUUCAGGAAACUGGGGCUAAUACCGGAUAGGAGCUCCUGCUGCAUGGUGGGGGUUGGAAAGUUUCGGCGGUUGGGGAUGGACUCGCGGCUUAUCAGCUUGUUGGUGGGGGAGUGGCUUACCAAGGCUUUGACGGGUAGCCGGCCUGAGAGGGGGACCGGCCACAGUGGGACUGUGAUACGGCCCAGACUCGUACGGGAGGCAGCAGUGGGGAAUAUUGCACGAUGGGCGGAAGCCGGAUGCAGCAACGCCGCGUGCGGGAUGACGGCCUUCGGGUUGUAAACCGCUUUCGCCUGUGACGAAGCGUGAGUGACGGUAAUGGGUGAAGAAGCACCGGCUAACUACGUG
rnacentral:rRNA from 1 species